rnacentral:rRNA from 1 species
AUUGAACGCUGGCGGCGUGCUUAACACAUGCAAGUCGAUCGGUAACAGGUGUAGCAAUACAUGCUGACGAGAGGCGGACGGGUGAGGAAUAUUUGGGAAUCUGCCCAUCAGCGGGGGACAACCCGGGGAAACCCGGGCUAAUACCGCAUACGCUCUACGGAGGAAAGCCGGGGACCGCAAGGCCUGGCACAGAUGGAUGAGCCCAAAUCGGAUUAGCUAGUUGGCGGGGUAACGGCCCACCAAGGCGACGAUCCGUAGCUGGUCUGAGAGGACGAUCAGCCACACCGGAACUGAGACACGGUCCGGACUCCUACGGGAGGCAGCAGUGGGGAAUAUUGGACAAUGGGGGAAACCCUGAUCCAGCGACGCCGCGUGGGUGAAGAAGGCCUGCGGGUUGUAAAGCCCUUUCGGUAGGGACGAAAGCUCUUGCUCUAACAAAGCAGGAGGUUGACUUAACCUACAUAAGAAGCACCGGCUAACUCUGUGCCAGCAGCCGCGGUAACAC